rnacentral:rRNA from 1 species
AGUGAACGCUGGCGGUAGGCCUAACACAUGCAAGUCGAACGGCAGCACAGUAAGAGCUUGCUCUUACGGGUGGCGAGUGGCGGACGGGUGAGGAAUACAUCGGAAUCUACUUUUUCGUGGGGGAUAACGUAGGGAAACUUACGCUAAUACCGCAUACGACCUACGGGUGAAAGCAGGGGAUCUUCGGACCUUGCGCGAUUGAAUGAGCCGAUGUCGGAUUAGCUAGUUGGCGGGGUAAAGGCCCACCAAGUCGACGAUCCGUAGCUGGUCUGAGAGGAUGAUCAGCGACACUGGAACGGAGACACGGUCCAGACUCCUACGGGAGGCAGCAGUGGGGAAUAUUGGACAAUGGGCGCAAGCCUGAUCCAGCCAUACCGCGUGGGUGAAGAAGGCCUUCGGGUUGUAAAGCCCUUUUGUUGGGAAAGAAAAGCAGCAGGUUAAUACCCCGCUGUUCUGACGGUACCCAAAGAAUAAGCACCGGCUAACUUCGUG